AUUGAACGCUGGCGGCAGGCCUAACACAUGCAAGUCGGACGGUAGCACAGAGGAGCUUGCUCCUUGGGUGACGAGUGGCGGACGGGUGAGUAAUGUCUGGGGAUCUGCCCGAUAGAGGGGGAUAACCACUGGAAACGGUGGCUAAUACCGCAUAACGUCGCAAGACCAAAGAGGGGGACCUUCGGGCCUCUCACUAUCGGAUGAACCCAGAGGGGAUUAGCUAGUAGGCGGGGUAAUGGCCCACCUAGGCGACGAUCCCUAGCUGGACUGAGGAGAUGACCCGCCACACUGGAACUGCGACACGGUCCAGACUCCUACGGGAGGCAGCAGUGGGGAAUAUUGCACAAUGGGCGCAAGCCUGAUGCAGCCAUGCCGCGUGUAUGAAGAAGGCCUUCGGGUUGUAAAGUACUUUCAGCGGGGAGGAAGGCGAUGCGGUUAAUAACCGCGUCGAUUGACGUUACCCGCAGAAGAAGCACCGGCUAACUCCGUGCCAGCAGCCGCCGCAG
rnacentral:rRNA from 1 species